ensembl:snRNA U6 U6 spliceosomal RNA
GAGGGAAAGGGAUUGCACUCAUACUAAAUUGGAACGAUACAGAGAAGAUUAGCAUGGACCAUGCACAACGAUGAUACGCAAAAUCAGAAAGAGGGAUUAUGGAGUG